UGGGGAAUAUUGCACAAUGGGGGCAACCCUGAUCCAGCCAUGCCGCGUGAGUGAUGAAGGCCUUAGGGUCGUAAAAGCUCUUUCGCCUGUGAAGAUAAUGACGGUAGCAGGUAAAGAAACCCCGGCUAACUCCGUGCCAGCAGCCGCGGUAAUACGGAGGGGGUUAGCGUUGUUCGGAAUUACUGGGCGUAAAGCGCACGUAGGCGGACCAGAAAGUUGGGGGUGAAAUCCCGGGGGCUCAACCCCGGAACUGCCUCCAAAACUAUUGGUCUAGAGUUCGAGAGAGGUGAGUGGAAUUCCAAGUGUAGAGGUGAAAAUUCGUAGAUAUUUGGAGGAACACCAGUGGCGAAGGCGGCUCACUGGCUCGAUACUGACGCUGAGGUGCGAAAAGUGUGGGGAGCAAAACAGGAUUAGAUACCCUGGUAGUCCACACCGUAAAACGAUGAAUGCCAGUCGUCGGGUAGCAUGCUAUUCGGUGACACACCUAACGGAUUAAGCAUUCCGCCUGGGGAGUACGGUCGCAAGAUU
rnacentral:rRNA from 1 species